rnacentral:rRNA from 1 species
UACGAAGGGGGCUAGCGUUGCUCGGAAUUACUGGGCGUAAAGCGCGCGUAGACGGUUUUGUAAGUCAGAUGUGAAAUCCCUGGGCUCAACCUGGGAACUGCAUUUGAGACUGCAUGGCUAGAGUAUCGAAGAGGGAAGUGGAAUUUCCGUGUAGCGGUGAAAUGCGUAGAUAUCGGAAGGAACACCAGUGGCGAAAGCGACUUCCUGGUCGAAUACUGACGUUCAUGUGCGAAAGCGUGGGGAGCAAACAGGAUUAAA